GCGUCUGCUGUUUUUGGAGCAGAGUUGCCACGUGAAUGAGCCUGGAGGAUGUGAGACCAAGAGGAGAGAUCAUGUAUCUCAGAAGCACGGGAACGGUCACACAGCCCAGACCACUCCUGAAUCCCACAAUGCCUGGCCUGUGGUUGGUGCUCAGAGACCAGGAAGUCACUCCAGCAUCCUCACACUCCUGUGCACAUGGACAAGGGGCUUCCCUGGUGGCGCAGUGGUUAAGAAUCCGCCUGCCAAUGCAGGGACAUGGGUUUGAGCCCUGGUCCGGGAAGAUCCCACAUGCUGCGGAGCAACUAAGCCCGUGAGCCACAACUACUGAGCCCGUGUGCCACAACUACUGAAGCCCGCGUGCCUAGAGCCCGUGCUCCGCAACAAGAGAAGCCACCACAAUAAGAAGCCCGUGCACCGCAACGAAGAGUAGCCCCUGCUCGCCGUAACUAGAGAAAGCCAGCGCGCAGCAACGAAGACCCAA